rnacentral:rRNA from 1 species
GACGAACGCUGGCGGCGUGCCUAAUACAUGCAAGUAGAACGCACAGUUUAUACCGUGGCUUGCUACACCAUAGACUGUGAGUUGCGAACGGGUGAGUAACGCGUAGGUAACCUGCCUGGUAGCGGGGGAUAACUAUUGGAAACGAUAGCUAAUACCGCAUAAUAUUAAUUAUUGCAUGAUAAUUAAUUGAAAGGUGCAAUUGCACCACUACCAGAUGGACCUGCGUUGUAUUAGCUAGUAGGUGAGGUAACGGCUCACCUAGGCGACGAUACAUAGCCGACCUGAGAGGGUGAUCGGCCACACUGGGACUGAGACACGGCCCAGACUCCUACGGGAGGCAGCAGUAGGGAAUCUUCGGCAAUGGACGAAAGUCUGACCGAGCAACGCCGCGUGAGUGAAGAAGGGUUUCGGAUCGUAAAGCUCUGUUGUAAGAGAAGAACGGGUGUGAGAGUGGAAAGUUCACACUGUGACGGUAUCUUACCAGAAAGGGACGGCUAACUACGUG